rnacentral:rRNA from 1 species
GAUGAACGCUGGCGGCGUGCCUAAUACAUGCAAGUCGAGCGAACAGAUGAGGAGCUUGCUCCUCUGACGUUAGCGGCGGACGGGUGAGUAACACGUGGGUAACCUACCUAUAAGACUGGGAUAACUUCGGGAAACCGGAGCUAAUACCGGAUAAUAUAUUGAACCGCAUGGUUCAAUAGUGAAAGACGGUUUUGCUGUCACUUAUAGAUGGAUCCGCGCCGCAUUAGCUAGUUGGUAAGGUAACGGCUUACCAAGGCAACGAUGCGUAGCCGACCUGAGAGGGUGAUCGGCCACACUGGAACUGAGACACGGUCCAGACUCCUACGGGAGGCAGCAGUAGGGAAUCUUCCGCAAUGGGCGAAAGCUUGACGGAGCAACGCCGCGUGAGUGAUGAAGGUCUUCGGAUCGUAAAACUCUGUUAUUAGGGAAGAACAAAUGUGUAAGUAACUAUGCACGUCUUGACGGUACCUAAUCAGAAAGCCACGGCUAACUACGUG